UCUUCGUUGGUGAACCAGCGGAGGGAUCAUUACCGAGUUUACAACUCCCAAACCCCUAUGUGAACGUUACCCAACUGUUGCCUCGGCGGGAAAUUCAUGCCCCGGGCGCGUCGCAGCCCCGGACCAAGGCGCCCGCCGGAGGACCAACCAAAACUCUUUUGUAUGUCCCUCGCGGACUUUUAUAAUUCUGAACCAUCUCGGCGCCCCUAGCGGGCGUUUCGAACAUGAAUCAAAACUUUCAACAACGGAUCUCUUGGUUCUG
rnacentral:misc_RNA from 1 species